AUGAAGCCAUUGGAAAGUAGUAGAUUUCAGGUUUGUUCCAUCUUCGAAAAAUUUGGAGGAGAGGCAGAAGAUCUGAAGAAGCUAGAACCAACCCUAAAGAAUAUUCUUACAUAUAAUAAAGAAUUCCCAUUUGAUGUUCAGCCUGUCCCUUUAAGAAGAAUUUUAGCACCUGGUGAAGAAGAGAAUUUGGAAUUUGAAGAAGAUGAAGAAGAGGGCGGUGCUGGAGCAGGGUCACCUGAUUUCAUUCCUGCCAGAGUUCACAGUACUUUAUUACCAAGGUUGCCAUCAGAACCAGGAAUGACGUUACUAUCAGAAUUGAGAAAACUGGCCUGAAAGAUGCCAGGCAAUGCACUGAUCCCUAUAUCACAGUUAGGGUAAAAGACCUAAAUGGCAUAGACUUAACUCCUGUGGCUUCAAGAAAAGACGACACAUAUGCUUAUUUUAAUGUAGACAUUGAGCUCCAGAAGCAUGUUGAAAAAUUAACCAAAGGUGCAGCUAUUUCUUUUAAUUCUAACACUACAAGCCUAAAGAAAGGUUUUCCAGCACCAAGUGUUGUGCUUUCAUGGAGAUGGACGAAAUUAAGCCUGGGUCAACUGUAAUAGAACUAUACAAGAAACCCACUGACUUUAAAAGAAAGAAAUUGCAAUUAUUGUCCAGGAAAGCACUUUAUCUUCAUCUGCAUCAAACUUUCCACAAGAAAUGCUCCUGACAUGAGCAUCCUGGAACUUCUGUGACUCUCACCACUCCACAGAAUCCAUCAUAGCUCUGUGUAGCAUACGACCCCUCAACAGGCAGGAAGCAAGCCGGACACAGGUCGGCAGACCAGAGUGAGUUCAUUACAAGCUUUAGCACAGAAUUCAAAGGGCAGCAUCACUGACAAAACAGAUUCUUUCGGAUACAGGCUUCUUGUAGGUCUUGAAACAUUUUCACUUUCUUGUUAAUCGUGCAAUUAAUAGUGUCUUUUUAAAUCUACCACUACUCCCGCCCUGCUUCCUGGAACAACACUGUUGUGGGCGGGAUGUUCUUGUCUUCGAACGUACUACAGCAAUAAAGAUGUGCUAGAAUGUCCACUUCUGCUCCAAUAUGCUCUUUAGCAAACUGGGGGUUGCUGUGGGGAGGAGAGCAUGAGCCUGCUUUAGAGGAAAGGGGACCAAUUAUGCUGCCCAAGGUCAGUUUAGAAGUUUAUAGCCUGCUCCUUAGAGAUAGCCUUCAUUCACCCCGAUCUCAUGGCUGUCCUUCCUAGAAAUCAGGUGUCUUGGCCAGUCUCCCACAUGGGAGUAUUUGCAGGUUAUAGCUGGGAUUUUUCCAGAUGACCAGACUGCCCUUCUGAAAGUGACCAUAUUUUUAGUCAUGUUGAUUAGCUUUUUUCCUAUAUCACAUUG